AGAGAAAGCAAUUCAAGAAUGUAAGAAUGAGUACCAUGGUCAACAAGCUCAUUAACAAGUCAAGGAUAAAGAAGUUGGAGAAUUUAACGCGUGGAGAGAAGCACAUUUAUUUCAAUUGAGAGAACAGUGGAUACAAUAAAAAGUACUGAAAAUAUAUAGGUAAAAAAUUUUGAAAAAAACAAGGCAACAACAAGAAGAACAAC
rnacentral:misc_RNA from 1 species